ensembl:lncRNA
AUUAACGUCAUGAAAUCCUUUGAUGUUGAAAUCUACAUAUACAACUCAUAACUUCUCUGGACUUCUUGAGAGCUGCACGCUUUCUGCUCAGUCCUGCAUCAGUUGAUAACCUUUGACCGCUGUACAAUACCACAAUACAACGCUUUUCAAGUUUUAUCGUGUACACCCAAGUAUUUUACCCAACAUUUAAAUCAAGCAGGAGAAAUGGCGGAAACGAAUCUGACUGUUUCCAACCAGGAGCCAGGAGGGUCAUCUGAACAGUUCAACGCAGAACAUAUGAGCCUGAGUGAAAUCUGCAAAGUUCUUAAGUCUAUGCGCAUGAAAAUUCACUCGAGCAGAAUACACGUUGAAGGAUGGGGAUCUUUGAAAGUUAAAGAUGAUAAAUAUGAGAAUCACAGGCAGGAGGAAGCCAUUGCUAGGAGAAAAUGUGAAACCCUUCAAAAAGAGGCAAAGAGUCUCCUUGAUCAGGUCAAAAAUCAUGAAUAUUUUGAAUCAAUCUACAGCGCCCAAAAAGAACUAAACGAACAUAUGUCUUCUAGACAUCAAAGGCUGGAAGUAGAGGUGGAAUUGCAGCGGAAAAUGUUGGAGCACUUAAAACGUGUGGAGUCAAAGGCUGCAUCCAUAACAAAGGAGAAUGAGGAGUAUGACCAAAAAAUUCACCUCCUGGAGACCACACUGCAAAAGGUAACCAAUGAAUGUAACCUUUUAUCUGAGGCCAAUAAACGAGAUGCCCAUCAGCUUGUUAUGAAGAAGACUUUGGUGAAGAACUUAACCUCUAAAACAGCUUCGACUCACUUGGAUUACAAACGUCUGCAAUAUAAGAAUAAGAAACUGAUUGCAGAGACACAGGAGUUAGAAAUACAGGUCUCGGCUCUGCAAGAUGAGAAAAGCGAAAUAAACCUGAAACUUGUCAACCAACGCCGUCAAAAUGAGGACGCAAUGCACCGUAGGGACGCUUUGGAGAGAAUAACCAAUCAUUUAAAACAGCAAAUCCAGGGCUUCAAUGAAGAACUCACGUCCAGAGAAUCUUUGGCACCGCAACUGAAAUGCCAGGUGACUGUUCUGGAGGAGCAGCGGCGACAGUUGAUUAAGGUCAGCACGGAGGCCACCAACAAGCUACUCCGUGAAAAAGACUGGAAGGCUGGCUAUGACUCACUGAGGAAAUACAAAAACGCCCUGGAGCUGAGGAACAAUGAAUGGAAAGAGAAUAUCCUCAGUCUAAUGAACAGUCUCAAAGAUCUUGACGCCUGUAAGGCAAACUACGAAUCAUUGAAGACAGAUAUAAAAGUUGCAACCAGACUGAAUAAAACUCUCAAAAAUCAACACAAGACCCUGGAAAACAAGAUCUCAAAAGAGCGGAAGUAUGUGGAAAAAAACAACGCAACAAAGUCAGAAAGCGAAAGCCUGAUGGGUGAAAACUGCACUCUUCAGUGUCAGAUUGAGGAACUGCAGAGCACCCUUCAGAAAACGCAAGCUUUGACUCGAGAGGCCGCUAGAGAAGCACCUCUGAAGGAGUGCAACGAGGCAAUGAGGGCAGAAAACCAGAUCGAUUACAGACAAUUGGACUUUCUCCCGGGGCAAGUACCCUCCACGUCGCAUGUAGAAAGGGUGAACCAGAAAAAGUGUUGGUUUGAACCCUCGCCGGUCCCGAACCAGACACCCUUACCACCCUUAGGGCUGGCGCAUGCUUCUGCGUCUGAGUCUGCGUGGUCGCGUCGACACGCUCGUUUCAAAUCAUGGUUCUAAAAGGCUUGCGUGUGUUGCAGAGCAAUUCACCGCCAGAACAACAGAUGGAGUAACGUGUUUCUGUUGAAGACAACCUUUUCAUAGCGGUAUUGUGCUAUGAAAACGGAAAUGUGAGACUCUGUAAAGGAUGUAGUUAGCAGACCAAUCGCCGCCUUGUGCGCAGCGGGAGACUUGCGUUUUUGAUAUGUCAUUUUUUUAGAAGAUAUGGACCAGCGUCCGCGUCCCCCCCGUACCACCCCCCUUAACCGGAACACACUCCCCCAUACCCGCCUGUCAGGGUUUUUGUCCCCAUGCAUCACUUCAGUCGCCGACAAAAGGACCCUCACCAAACUGCUUACCAUCAUGGACAAUGAAAACAAUCCUCUCCACAGCACGAUCAGUCGACAGAAGAGUCUGAUCAGCAGGAGACUGCGCUCGCUGCCAUGUAGGACUGAUAGACUGUAUAAAUCAAUCAUCCCCAGAGUCAUAUAACUGUACAAUAACACAACCCACCAACCAGAGGUACCUCACUAGAAAAACUCAGUUUUCUAGUGAGCCAUGUUUACUGGCUAUGUUAGCCUUUGCACAGCCCCAAACUUGGCUAUGUUGGCCCUUUGCAAAACCUCCCAACUACAAGCUAUGUUGGCCAACACCCCCCCCCAACUACUGACUAUGUUGGCCAACACACCCCCCAACUACUGGCUAUGUUGGCCAACACCCCCCCCCCCCCAACUACUGGCUAUGUUGGCCAACCCCCCCCCCCCCAACUACUGGCUAUGUUGGCCAACACCCCCCCCCCCCCCCCAACUACUAGCUAUGUCGGCCCUUUGCACAACCCCCCUCCCCCGACUACUGGCUACUACUGGCUAUGUUGGCCAACCCCCCCCC